rnacentral:ncRNA from 1 species
GGAUAAGCUCAGGUAACUGGGCGAAAGGUUGUGCUUUGCUGGUAGGGUACAGCCCCCUCCGCUAUGGGAUAAACCAGAGUGGGGGGCAGGAUCCACCGGGCGACUCGGCGUCUGACCGCUAGGCGCCGUCACAGCGGCAAGUCGUUCAGGCGAGUAAGAUCACAACCCCUGUGAUCUGACUCGAGUGAGAGUCACCAAUGGUGGAGGGGUAACCAUUGGUGAAUCGCAGUUUCCCGGGAAAGGGAACACGGUUGCUACUGCGAUACCAGCCUGGUUUACUGUGUUGGAACAGCGCGGGGAAUCCCGCUAAAGCACGCAGUAGGCCAGGAGGCCGGCCUUGUGCGGGCCGCAAGACCGGACCUCGCCUGCGCGGGGACCAAACGUAUGCCCGCGUAGCUGCCACUGAAAGGCAACCUGAGGAUCGAGCCGAGACCCGUAACCUAGGGGAGCAUUAUUCCCCGACUUGGGGAGAGUAAGCCUCCUAGGAUAAAACCUUGGUUUCUGGGUAGGCAGCGGGGGCCAGGGUGGGUGUGCCGAUGGAAGACACUUUAUAGCGUCUACCGAAGGCAGGCUCAGAAGGCUCGGUCCGAUAAUCGGCAGUCGUAAGACGCCGACGGCCCUGCUAUGAGGCCGAAACUCCUGAGUGGCCCUCGGAGAAUAGCGUCGGGAAGCCAGCAGCCAACAAAGCGUAUAGCUUUGGGGCGCCUAAUGUUGGCAGGGGGAAGAGAGUGUGGCGAGCUCC